rnacentral:rRNA from 1 species
GACGAACGCUGGCGGCGUGCUUAACACAUGCAAGUCGAACGGAAAGGCCCUGCUUUUGUGGGGUGCUCGAGUGGCGAACGGGUGAGUAACACGUGAGUAACCUGCCCUUGACUUUGGGAUAACUUCAGGAAACUGGGGCUAAUACCGGAUAGGAGCUCCUGCUGCAUGGUGGGGGUUGGAAAGUUUCGGCGGUUGGGGAUGGACUCGCGGCUUAUCAGCUUGUUGGUGGGGUAGUGGCUUACCAAGGCUGUGACGGGUAGCCGGCCUGAGAGGGUGACCGGCCACAUUGGGCCUGAGAUACGGCCCAGACUCCUACGGGAGGCAGCAGUGGGGAAUAUUGCACAAUGGGCGGAAGCCUGAUGCAGCAACGCCGCGUGCGGGAUGACGGCCUUCGGGUUGUAAACCGCUUUCGCCUGUGACGAAGCGUGAGUGACGGUAAUGGGUAAAGAAGCACCGGCUAACUACGUG